GGCCCCGUGGUCAAGCGGUUAAGACACCGCCCUUUCACGGCGGUAACACGGGUUCGAGUCCCGUACGGGUCA
rnacentral:tRNA from 1 species